rnacentral:rRNA from 1 species
UACGGAGGGUGCAAGCGUUAAUCGGAAUAACUGGGCGUAAAGCGCACGCAGGCGGGCUUUUAAGUUAGGUGUGAAAUCCCCGGGCUUAACCUGGGAAUAGCAUUUCAGACUGGGAGUCUAGAGUCGUUUAGGGAGGGGUAGAAUUCCACGUGUAGCGGUGAAAUGCGUAGAGAUGUGGAGGAAUACCGAAGGCGAAGGCGGCCCCUUGGGAAUGUACUGACGCUCAUGUGCGAAAGCGUGGGGAGCAAACAGG